GUGGGGAAUAUUGGACAAUGGGCGCAAGCCUGAUCCAGCAAUGCCGCGUGUGUGAAGAAGGUUUUCGGAUUGUAAAGCACUUUCGGCGGGGACGAUGAUGACGGUACCCGCAGAAGAAGCCCCGGCUAACUUCGUGCCAGCAGCCGCGGUAAUACGAAGGGGGCUAGCGUUGCUCGGAAUGACUGGGCGUAAAGGGCGCGUAGGCGGUUUGUACAGUCAGGUGUGAAAUUCCCGGGCUCAACCUGGGGGCUGCACUUGAUACGUAUGGACUUGAGUGGGGAAGAGGGUCGUGGAAUUCCCAGUGUAGAGGUGAAAUUCGUAGAUAUUGGGAAGAACACCGGUGGCGAAGGCGGCGACCUGGUCCUUGACUGACGCUGAGGCGCGAAAGCGUGGGGAGCAAACAGG
rnacentral:rRNA from 1 species